AACAGUUCACAGCAGCGUUGUUUAUUAGGAGAAAACGUUCAAACAACUUAAAUGUCCAUCAAUAAGAAAAUGGAUUUAAAAAUCGUAGUAUAUUUGUACAAUGGAAUUCUAUUCUGCAAUUAAGAUGAAUGAACAUGAGAGGGCAUAUAAAGGAAGGCUUCCAUGUCCUGGAUUUUCACAGAUGACUUCAGAAGCUGACAGUCCUGUCUGCAUGUUUUUCUCAUGCCAAGAGGAAGUCAUGGUUAAAACCCUGGAGCCAGACUGCCUGGACUCAAAUCCCAGCUCUGCCAUUUCCCAGCUGUGUGACCUCAGAUUGCUCAUUAGUUGCAAAGAGAAGCCGAGUAACUAUCCAGUGGAGAAAGAAGAUCAUGUCUUCAUCAAAAUUAACAUCGGUAAUGAGGGACAGAUGGACAUCAUGUGCCUCCAGACGGGACACUCUGAGAAGAACACAACAUGACUUUGCUAGUGUUUCGGCAUCACCAGAAUCCAACCAUGAGGAAUCAUCCAACAAACCCCCAACGGUGAACAUUUUAUUAAGUUAGUUAGUUAUUUUAUCACGGUAAAAAACAUAACAUAAUACCAUCUUAACCAUUUUUAAGCAUACAAUACAGUAGUGUUAACUAUAUGCACAUUGUUGUGCAACAGAUCUCUAGAACUUUUUCAUCUUGAGAAACCAAAACUCUGUAUCCAUUGAACAACUCUCCUUUUCCCCCCUCCCCCAAAGACACUGGCAACCACCAUUCUACUGGCUGCUUUUAAGAAUCUGACUGUUUUACACACUUCAUAUAUGUGGAAUUGUGCAGUAUUUGUCUUUUUAUGACUAGUUUAUUUCAUUUAGCAUAAUGUCCUCAAGUUUCAUGCAUGUUGUAGCAUUUGGCAAGAUUUCUUUUCUUUUUUAAGGCUGAAUAAUAUUCCAUUGUAUAUUGAAUAUAUAGUUACAUAUGCCACAUUUUGUUUCUCCAUUCAUAAUAGCUAUUGAUGGACAUUUAGGUUGCUUCACCCUCUUGGCUAUUGUGAGUAGUGCUGCUAUGGACAUGGGUGUGCAAAUAUUUCUUCACGAUCCUGCUUUCAAUUCUUUUGGCUAUAUACCUCGAAGUGGGAUUUCUGGAUCAUAUGGUAAUACUAUUUUUAAUUUUUUGAGAAACUGCCAUACUGUUUUCCAUAGUGGC
rnacentral:lncRNA from 1 species